UAUGGACGAGUGUAAAUACAUACAUAUAUUAUAGAGUCUGAGAGGCUCGAUAUUUUAUGGGAUAAAGGUUUUAUCGCUUGCGGCAUGCAUUCGAUUUUUCCUUAGAAAUUAAUUUGGGGAAACAUAAAUAUUUUAAUUAUUAAUUUAUUUUUGUCCACUCACUCUAACGUUAUUAAAUGUUUUCCCCUGGGCCCUUCGUUUUAAAUUGCCCAGUCUGCAGAGUUCGGGUUGGAUCUAGUAGGAGACGAGGCAUAGUCACCCGCUUUUCGGCCAGUUUUCAUCAGUAGGUUACCUGUUCAACCUACUUGUGUUUUCUUGCUUCCGCUUGUGUUUAGUAGCUCUGAAUACUUUAGAAUUUUUGUAUAUUAUGUGAUAUUCAGAAGCGUUAAAUUAAGAGUGUAAUAUGAAAUUUUCGAGUUAGGGUUGUCCAUCUGCAAGGGAGAUUUUCUUAAUAUUUUCAGUAAAUUUUCCUUGGAGGUGGUCCCCGCACGACUUACUCUGGGUUUCAGGGUGAAAUUCGGGGUGGGUCGUGUCAAUACCUCGGAAACUUAGAAAGACAUCAUAUUUCCAUUCAGAAGUUGACGAAGGAAAAGAUGUAAAGGCUCUUUCUAAACUCAUUGUGAUUGGAAACUACUGUCUUAUCUGUCACUGUUUAUUGGAGAUUGUCUCGGGAUCAUGAACUAUAUGCCAGGUACCAAUUCUAGCAUGAAGAACAAGCAAUUCGUUUGUUUCCUCCUUCACAGAAAUAGAUAAAAACUUAGUUAUUUAGUGAACCAUAUCUGCGUAAAUUCUGAAAAGAGUGGUAUACUAUUAUCUGGUUCUGGAAUCUACUAAACAAAGACUCGCUCUUUUUAAAGAUAUAUAUAUAUACAGUUAGGAUCUGGGGAGGACGUCCGUAAAAUGAAAAGGGUGCGGAUGGACAUGUGUCGGCCACAGGAAUCAACUGCAUUUUAUAGUGGGACCCACCACGUCCUUGACUGCAUCCCUUCCUUUCUCUUACGCUCUAAACCCAGAAACGUUUCUUUGUGGGUCUCACUCCUAUCAUCUUCUCUAAUCUUCAAAAGAAUUAAGUUCAUAACAUCACACAAGCAUGGCUAAUGGUUUUGCAAGAUCAGUUGGACGUCGACUUGUACAAACCACCAAAUCUUCCAAUGAAAUUAAUAUCAAACACAAAACCAUUAUAAUAGGAGUAAGAAGAGCAAUAACAAUAGGUUUCAUUUCUCCCAAAAUUUGCUUUAAAAUCGGGAAUUGCUGCUAGAAAUAAGGUAAAUUCUGAAAUGGAGGUGGAGGAUGAAUUGGGUAGAUCGCGAAGAAUGAAACUCACCCACUCUAUAAUAAUGGUUGAUGUAUAUAUGGAGUAAAGUUUGACCCUUAGAGGGUCGAAGAAGAUGAGAAAGUGAAGAUUGGGAUUUUUAAGAUUACAUAAGAUGAGUGGUUCUGUGGUUUGAAGGUUAUAUAAUUGUGAGAAUGGUGGAGGGGCAGAACAAAUUUGGAAUUGAAGCAGAGAUUCAGAGAUUGAGGUGACGGCGGCGGUGGUCAAUGUGUUUCUUUGGGGAUGGGAAAUGAGCAUCAACUCUCAAAGUACUAUAUAGUUGUGUGCGAAUGCUGAGGCAUGCCCACCCAUUUCAUCAACACUUAGACUUCCUACUUAAAUCUAUUUCUGGAUCUGUAAUGGAGAUGAGAAAGGCAGAGGAAAAUCAAGUUUCUGGGUUUAGCGCGUGUGAGAGAUCGAGGAAGGGAUGUGGUCAAAGCAAGAAGAGAGGUGGUGAGACCCAGUUUAAAAUACAGUUGAUUCCUCUAGUCGACAUGUGUCCAUCCGCACUCUUUUCAUUUUGCGGACGUCCUCCUCAGAUCCUAACUGUAUAACCAAGUUCAAAUGGUAUGUUUAAUUAGACUUGCUAGUGCAUCAUAAUUCAUGACUAAAAUUAUCUCCAAUCAUAUAUAUUAAUUAGACAUGAUCAGAAGAAUAUUAAUCACAAACUCAAUGCUAAGUUGCUCACUGUCCCAGAUCGGAAAAGAUCAAGAUAUAAAAACAUGUAGAAGAUGAAAUUACAGAUUAGGCAUCAAGCAGUAUAGAAAUUAGUAGGAGAUCGACUAACCUGGAGGAAUUGCAGAAGCAAAUGUAUUCUGAAACAGGAAAUAAUCAACCCGCGGUAAGACUAAAAAGAUCAAUACCAGAGCGAUGACUGAAUGGGAAGAAGAUGCAAGGAUGGUUGGGUUUCUUGGGUCUUCUAACCUGUCCAAAUCUCACACACCUUCUCGGCAAAUGAACAACUCGAACAAAAAUACAUAUAACAUAUUCAUGGUAGUUGCCUAAUUAAGUUGAAUAUCAUACUCAAAGUAAGCAACUUCCAGGUGAAUGUAUCAAUAAGUUCAAUGCUUNNNNNNNNNNNNNNNNNNNNCCAGAUAGAUAUAGUUUCUUUAAGAGGAUAGACAGCCGAUAUUAUCAGGGAUAGCUCCUUCCAAAGAUUGCAGUACGACAAAUCCAGUUUGGUUAAAGAAUGUAAACCAGCAAAGGAAGGCAGCAACUUAGAUAUCGGUGGUCCUUUACAUCUACAAAAGACUAAUUCUUUGAGAUUUCGAAGACCCAUGCAUGCAGGCAGUUCUCUCAAGGCAGUUCCAUUCACAUUAAGUUGUACCAGACUCUCUAAAUGGCCCAAGUCUGCCGGUAAUUUCUCAAGCUUCGAGCAAUCUGAAAGAUCAAAAACUUUCAGCGAUUUUAAGCCAGAUACCCUGCUUGGAAGAAGCCUAAGGUUUUCGCAACGCAUCAAGUUUAUCUGAACAAGUCUUUCAAGGAAUCCAACGGAUGAAUCAACCUCGUACAGCUGUAUACAACCUUCAAGAUUCAAGUAUUCAAGAUCUGGACUACCACUGAAGUCAGGGGUCUUCAGAAGAUUCAAAGAGUGACUGAGGUCGAUUCGUUUCAAACUGUAUAGAGGCUGUAAAUACAUAUAUAGCAAAAUUAGCUUCCAUUAUUCAAUAAAUACAUAUAAAACUUAAAUACGUUGUGACAUGGUACCUUUUCACCCUCCCACAGAUAUUCAAUAUGGCUAUGGCGCAUUUCAAGUACUUGUAAGUACUCUAGGCUGGUAACUGACGCCAAAGAUUGUAGAGGACAUUUCCACCAGAUUAGACUCCGUAACUCACUUGAAAGAUACUCGAGGCAGUCCGAGAGGUGCACACAAACACCAUCAAGUAUCAGUAUUCUCAAAUUUGUCAUCUUUGAAAAGGAUUUUCCGGGAAAGUGUAAUUCUGUGUCUGCAUCUUUAUUCACACGUAGUACUAUGGCUUCCGCUGCAUCUGUUCCCUAAUAAACAUAAAUAAAGAAUAGUCAGCUCGGACCUUGUUAUAAAAUGCAAUAGCAACUGAAGUCAUUGUUGCAGUAAGUUUCUCACUCUAUUUUUUCUCAGGACGUGAAUAACAUCCUUUUUAAGGCUCAACCUACUGCGCUUGCCUGGCUCCUUAGGAGAUUCUCGGCGAACAAUUUCUAGGCCCAUUUCUUGCAGCAAAUCAUGCAUUUCUAGUUGUUCUACACUGCCAGCAUCUGAAAUAGUUAAGAGAGAUCUCUCCACAAGUACAUCAAUCCCAAUAGUUGCAUGAAAGCCACAACUCUUGAGUACUUCUAUUACUGCAUUUUUCUCAUAUCCUUUGUAUAAACAUGCAAUAUCUAGAAAGAUAUUCUUCUCAUCGUCAUCUAGACCAUCAUAACUUAUUUUAAGUGUCUCGAAAAUUUCUGCAUUACGAACUUCUCUCAAUUUUGCCAACGUACUUUCCCAUGCACUAGGACCUCUUCCAUGCAAAAGAGAUCCCAAGACUUUAAGAGCUAGAGGGAGACCUUUAGCAUAAUUCACAACUUGAUUAGACAAAUCACGGUAACUUUGUUCAGGGUAAUCUUUCUUAAAGGCGUUCUGGCAAAAAAGCUGAAGAGCUUCAAUAGUAUUUAGUCCUUGGACCUCAUAUCUUCUCAGCACUCCAUGUUUAACUAACAGGUGAGCAUCUCUAGUUGUAAUGAUAAUUAUGCUUCCAAAACCAAACCAGUCUUCCUUUCCAGCCAAGUACUCCAAAUGGUCCGAAUGAUUAACAUCAUCAAGAACGAGAAGAACCCUUUUGUGACGUAGAAAUCUCUUUAUCAUUGUGGCUCCUUCAUGAACAUCCCGUACGUUAGUCCUAGAAAUAAGUUCCUUUUGUAACUGAACCAGACCCCUUCUUUCUUCAUUGCUUCUAACAUUAGAAAUAAAGCCCCUGAACUCAAACUGAUUAGAGAUUUGAUCAAAAAGUACUUUGGCAAUCGUUGUCUUACCAAUUCCACCCAUUCCCCAUACCCCUAUAAAGUGAAUAUCAUUCAUCCCUACACCUAAAAGCGAUUUAACUGCUUCUACUCUUGAAUCAAUCCCAACUAGGUUCUCCAUUGAACUAAACAAUGUUGGGCGUGAUUGCAUCCUUACUGCAGCAACAAUGUUCUUGAUGAGCUCCGAUUCAUACCUGGAAUAGAUGAGAAACAAUAUUGACCAGUUUCUUCAUGCUGCAGUGACACUCACAUACAUAGAAGAGGCAGAAAUUAAAGAAAUAAAUUGAAUGAAUACCUGUAGUCCUUUGAAUUCCACCCAGAGUAAGUUUGACACUUUUGUUAGAGCAGCUCUCCACUUUUGCACCUUCUCUGUGUCGUCACUAGGUCUCUUUUCAUGUUUGGUGAAGGCUUCUGCAAAAUUUCCAGUUUGUCGUCUCACUUCACAGGGAUCGACAUUAUAGAAUAUUGGAUAAAUUGUUUUCCUAGCUUCCAUGCACUCAAGAAUCUUCAAAAGUUCAUCCAAGCACCAUGCUGAAGAUGCAUAAUUUAGUGAGAGUACGACGAGUGCAAUAUUUGAUUCUUCAAUUGCAGCGAAAAGUUCCGUAGAAAUAGAUUUCCCUUUUUGGAGCUCACGGUCAUCCAUGAAAGUUUUUAUUCCCUGAUCUUCCAGUGAAUUGUAUAAGUAGUUUGUAUAACCGUUCCGGGUGUCUAUACCUCGGAAACUUAGAAAGACAUCAUAUUUCCAUUCAGAAGUUGACGAAGGAAAAGAUGUAGAGGCUCUUUCUGAACUCAUUGUGACUGGAAACUACUGUCUUAUCUGUCACUGUUUAUUGGAGAUUGUCUCGGGAUCAUGAACUAUAUGCCAGGUACCAAUUCUAGCAUGAAGAACAAGCAAUUCGUUUGUUUCCUCCUUCACAGAAAUAGAUAAAAACUUAGUUAUUUAGUGAACCAUAUCUGUGUAAAUUCUGAAAAGAGUGGUAUACUAUUAUCUGGUUCUGGAAUCUACUAAACAAAGACUCGCUCUUUUUAAAGAUAUAUAUAUAUAUACAGUUAGGAUCUGGGGAGGACGUCCGUAAAAUGAAAAGGGUGCGGAUGGACAUGUGUCGGCCACAGGAAUCAACUGCAUUUUAUAGUGGGACCCACCACGUCCUUGACUGCAUCCCUUCCUUUCUUUUACGCUCUAAACCCAGAAACGUUUCUUUGUGGGUCUCACUCCUAUCAUCUUCUCUAAUCUUCAAAAGAAUUAAGUUCAUAACAUCACACAAGCAUGGCUAAUGGUUUUGCAAGAUCAGUUGGACGUCGACUUGUACAAACCACCAAAUCUUCCAAUGAAAUUAAUAUCAAACACAAAACCAUUAUAAUAGGAGUAAGAAGAGCAAUAACAAUAGGUUUCAUUUCUCCCAAAAUUUGCUUUAAAAUCGGGAAUUGCUGCUAGAAAUAAGGUAAAUUCUGAAAUGGAGGUGGAGGAUGAAUUGGGUAGAUCGCGAAGAAUGAAACUCACCCACUCUAUAAUAAUGGUUGAUGUAUAUAUGGAGUAAAGUUUGACCCUUAGAGGGUCGAAGAAGAUGAGAAAGUGAAGAUUGGGAUUUUUAAGAUUACAUAAGAUGAGUGGUUCUGUGGUUUGAAGGUUAUAUAAUUGUGAGAAUGGUGGAGGGGCAGAACAAAUUUGGAAUUGAAGCAGAGAUUCAGAGAUUGAGGUGACGGCGGCGGUGGUCAAUGUGUUUCUUUGGGGAUGGGAAAUGAGCAUCAACUCUCAAAGUACUAUAUAGUUGUGUGCGAAUGCUGAGGCAUGCCCACCCAUUUCAUCAACACUUAGACUUCCUACUUAAAUCUAUUUCUGGAUCUGUAAUGGAGAUGAGAAAGGCAGAGGAAAAUCAAGUUUCUGGGUUUUAGCGCGUGUGAGAGAUCGAGGAAGGGACGUGGUCAAAGUAAGAAGAGAGGUGGUGAGACCCAGUUUAAAAUACAGUUGAUUCCUCUAGUCGACAUGUGUCCAUCCGCACUCUUUUCAUUUUUGCGGACGUCCUCCUCAGAUCCUAACUGUAUAACCAAGUUCAAAUGGUAUGUUUAAUUAGACUUGCUAGUGCAUCAUAAUUCAUGACUAAAAUUAUCUCCAAUCAUAUAUAUUAAUUAAACAUGAUCAGAAGAAUAUUAAUCACAAACUCAAUGCUAAGUUGCUCACUGUCCCAGAUCGGAAAAGAUUAAGAUACAAAAACAUGUAGAAGAUGAAAUUACAGAUUAGGCAUCAAGCAGUAUAGAAAUUAGUAGGAGAUCGACUAACCUGGAGGAAUUGCAGAAGCAAAUGUAUUCUGAAACAGGAAAUAAUCAACCCGCGGUAAGACUAAAAAGAUCAAUACCAGAGCGAUGACUGAAUGGGAAGAAGAUGCAAGGAUGGUUGGGUUUCUUGGGUCUUCUAACCUGUCCAAAUCUCACACACCUUCUCGGCAAAUGAACAACUCGAACAAAAAUACAUAUAACAUAUUCAUGGUAGUUGCCUAAUUAAGUUGAAUAUCAUACUCAAAGUAAGCAACUUCCAGGUGAAUGUAUCAAUAAGUUCAAUGCUUCACCAUUUGUUUCUUUAAGUUUGAAGCUCGAUAUAUUAUAUAGAGAAAGAGAGUCAUCAUAGAGAUUAGCUCAGUAGCUAGUUGAACAACCAAGUUGGUCAUAAACAAUUAU
rnacentral:lncRNA from 1 species